UUUAAAGAGAGUUUGAUCCUGGCUCAGGACGAACGCUGGCGGCGUGCCUAAUACAUGCAAGUCGAACGAACCGACGAAAGAGCUUGCUCUUUCUGACGUUAGUGGCGGACGGGUGAGUAACACGUGGGCAACCUGCCUGUAAGUUGGGGAUAACUCCGGGAAACCGGGGCUAAUACCGAAUAAUAACAAGC
rnacentral:ncRNA from 1 species